CCCCGCUCCGCGCAGCCACACCAACCGGCGCGCGGUCUUCCCCUCCGCGCAGCCACUCCAACCGCCAAGCCCCCACCGCCAAGCCCUCACCUCGCUCGAUCCACCAUGCCUCCGCCUCGCAAGAUCCGCCAUGCCAGCGUCUCGGCUUCCCCUCCGUGCAGCCGCCUGACCCGCCGCCCGACCCGCCGCAAAACAGCCAUGCCCCCGCCUCGGCUAGCCCUUCGCGCAGAUCCGCAGCCGCCCGACCCGCCAGGACCCGCCUCUCCUUCCCCUCGGCGCUCAAACAACCAAGCCGAGGAAAUGCACCCACAAAUGUGGAAGCUCCGCGCAGCCACACGAACUGCCAUGCAACCACCUCGCACGAUCUGCCAUGCCCCCGCCUCGCACGAUCCACCAUGCCUUCGCCUCGGCUUCUCCUCCGUGCAACCGCCUGACCCGUCAGGACCCCGCCUCUCCUUCCCCUCCGCGCUCAAGCAACCAAUCCGAGAAAAUGCACCCACAAAUUUGGAAGCCGCGGCAAUGGCGCCCGAUUUGGCUAUGGCGUUCAUGAUUUGGAAACCGCACAAUCUACGUUGCCGAUUUGGAAAGCACGAUCUUGGUACUGCAAUCACAACAACUAUCCCCCAAAUGUCGCGCCCACCAACGACCAGCUGACUUAGGAACGUCCAAGCAGGAGCCUACUCCUCAUUUGCCCCUGUUCAGAGGACCCCCAGAUUUGGCAAUGCAACAUUCGGAACAAUCGCGCUCGAUCUGGCAAUUGUGUGCAUGAUCUUCGUCGCCGAUUUGGAAAGCGCACGAUCUACGACGCUGAUUUGGAAAGUGCCUUGCCAAACGAUUCCAGCACAAAUCCCCCAAAUCGUGCACCCACCAUCGUUAAAAAGGUCACAAUUGCCAUCCUGCUCCAACCUUCCUACAACGACGGAAAUCCUGCGCUCACACUCCUCCAGUGUAAGGUGCUCCUGUAAGGAAAAAAGUGAAUAAAAGUGACAUAAGAUUAUUCUUACCCAAGGUGCAGGAAAGACUCGAGCUUCAACAAGGGUCAGAUUAAGACUGGAGCACACCCUGCCGAUCAGAGCGUCUUGCCAAAUACAACCAG